rnacentral:snRNA from 1 species
AGGGGAGAUCCAAUGAUCAUGAUGGUGGUUUUCCCAGGAUGCGCUCACCCAUUGCACUCCGGAUGUGCUGACCCCUGUGAUUUCCCAAAUUUGGGAAACUCAACU